UGGAUUUUUGCAUGUGAUUACAUCUGUAUGUCUGGUGUGAGCAUGAUUUUUUGUAGAUUUUUUAGAUUCAUUUCCUAUUUGAUUGGGAUUUUUCUUUGCCGUUUGGUCAUUUGUGAACUCUUUUUGAGCGUGGAACUUCUAUGCUUUGUGAAAUUAUCAUGCUUUAUCAUAUGAAGUUGAAACUUUGUGGAUUGGUUCUUAACAUGUUUAACUUCAUUUUGGCUGUGGUGUGGUUCAUUUAUCUUAUGCCAUU
rnacentral:lncRNA from 1 species